GCCCGCGUAGGGUAGUGGUCAUCCUCACGGCUUGUGGAGCCGUGGAGGCGGGUUCGACUCUCGCCGCGGGCC
rnacentral:tRNA from 1 species